rnacentral:misc_RNA from 1 species
GUGGCAAUCAUAUUAGGUGAAUCUGAUGGUUUGGUAUAAUUUAUUAUUAGAGUGAAGGAAAUAUAAGGUUUUAUAAGAUUUUAUUACAAGGUGAGGGAUUGAAUGCGGUGCCACAUUAAUGCUUUUAGGAAGAUUUGGUUGGAUUCUAGCAAGAGUGACCCUUAUUGCAAUGGUUUAACAAGUGACUCUUAGGUCACAAAUUGAAGUUGAUGGAUAGUGCUGAAUUAUAGGGAUAAGUAUAGAGACUAGGGUGACAUUUACCCCGAAUGUAGGUGGUCAUCCAAAUUUAAGAAUUUAAGAAUAUAGUGAUAAGCUCCUGUUGAUAUUGAUAGCUGAUUUUUAGAGUUUGAUGGUCAUUAUUUGAUUUUCCAAUCUAUGAAUUGUCACCCCCCACUCAAAAGAAAAAGAAGAGGAAAUAGAACCAUAUAAACUGCUUUAUGUAAUUCCUUCCUGAUCUACUAAUAAAUUCUUCAACAACUUGUUCCAAGCAAAGUGUCUACAUUGCAGUAUUUUGGUUUGGGCAAUUAUAUUUCUAAUUCUAAUAUUAUACAUGGGUCUUGUUAAAAAUAUAUAUUUAUGGUUGGCUGGUUAUACGGGUUUCAAUUUCAAAGGCAUAAUUCUUCAAGGCACAAAAUUUUAUCAUUUGAUCCAAUGUCUGUAUCAAGUAUGUGUGCACGUGUGCAUUAUACAUGCACACCCCAUGGGUUAGCAGUUUCUCAAGAGUAGAGAUGGCUCAAACAUUUAUUCCUUUUUGGAAAGUAAACUUAAACUGUAUUAUUGCUUUUUUUUUUCUUGUUAUUAU